CGGCAGCGGCGGCGGCGGCGGCCGGGACAAGGCGGAGGCGACGGCGGCGGCGGCGGCGCGGGGCGCUCGGGCUGAUGGCGGCGGCGGCCGGGCCCGGGGCUGCGCUGUCCCCGCGGCCGUGUGACAGCGACCCAGCCACCCCCGGAGCGCAGUCCCCGAAGGAUGAUAAUGAAGAUAAUUCAAAUGAUGGGACCCAGCCAUCCAAAAGGAGGCGAAUGGGCUCAGGAGAUAGUUCUAGGAGUUGUGAAACUUCAAGUCAAGAUCUUGGCUUUAGUUACUAUCCAGCAGAAAACUUGAUAGAGUACAAAUGGCCACCUGAUGAAACAGGAGAAUACUAUAUGCUUCAAGAACAAGUCAGUGAAUAUUUGGGUGUGACCUCCUUUAAAAGGAAAUAUCCAGAUUUAGAGCGACGAGAUUUAUCUCACAAGGAGAAACUCUACCUGAGAGAGCUAAAUGUCAUUACUGAAACUCAGUGCACUCUAGGUUUAACAGCAUUGCGCAGUGAUGAAGUGAUUGAUUUAAUGAUAAAAGAAUAUCCAGCCAAACAUGCUGAGUAUUCUGUUAUUCUGCAAGAAAAAGAACGUCAGCGAAUUACAGACCAUUAUAAAGAGUAUUCCCAAAUGCAACAACAGAAUACUCAGAAAGUUGAAGCCAGUAAAGUGCCUGAGUAUAUUAAGAAAGCUGCCAAAAAAGCAGCUGAAUUUAAUAGCAACUUAAACCGGGAACGCAUGGAAGAAAGAAGAGCUUAUUUUGACUUGCAGACACAUGUACUCACCAGAUGAGCUGCGGUAUCUGCCAUUAAACACAGCCCUGUAUGAGCCCCCUCUGGAUCCUGAGCUCCCUGCUCUAGACAGUGACGGUGAUUCAGAUGAUGGUGAAGAUGGUCGAGGUGACGAGAAACGGAAAAAUAAAGGCACUUCGGACAGCUCCUCUGGCAAUGUAUCUGAAGGGGAAAGCCCUCCUGACAGCCAGGAGGACUCUUUCCAGGGAAGACAGAAAUCAAAAGACAAAGCUGCCACUCCAAGAAAAGAUGGUCCCAAACGUUCUGUACUGUCCAAGUCAGUUCCUGGGUACAAGGUAGAAGAAAAAAGCCCCUGACUCAGCUUCUUUACUGACCAGCCUCUCUCCCUGAAAUAUUUUAACUUGACUUUCACGAUUGUGGAGCUUCUGCCUGCUGUACUUCACUAGCUGUUCUUCUAUCGUGUGCCCUUUGUCCACUGCUUUCUUUUUUGCUUUAUUUCCUUGGUGGCUUUUCUGUCACUUUUGGCUAUGGUUUAGCUUCUGUUUUCUGUAUAUGUACAAUUUAUAAGUCUUUUUUUUUCUUUGAAAGAAUAACCAGGCAAGUAUGGGUUUUUAAAACAUUAUUUCAUAGGCAGAAGUUUAUAUUUUCUUUCCUUGGAGUAAAGAUCAUAAUUAUUUGGCAUUUUAAAUGCCCCAGCAUUUAGUGUAGCUAAAGCUGCUGAGCUAUAAAGUAUGAGUGGAUAUACUGUUAGACUAAGUUGCAUUUUUUUUAGUGCCUUUCAUUAAGAAAGAUCUGGGUUUAAUCUAAGGAUUAUUUGAUCCAUAUGCUAAAUUUAGCUAACUCUGGGAUAGAAAAUAAUAAAACCCGUUAUUUACAUUUUAGUGAUUUUUAGCAUAACCUUGGUAAAGCGCCUAUAUGAUUCUAUGACAGGAAUUAAAACAUACUUGUUAACUUGUUGAUCUGAUUAUCCUCAGAGUAAAGUAGUAGGUUGUCAGCAACUAUUAUUGUAUUUUGAACUUUUCCUCCCUCUGUCUGCCACUCCCUUUUCUUCUGAAGAAAAGGUGAGGUGAGAGGUGAGUAGCCUUAUUUGCAUAUAGGGAUUUAAGAAUAUCAUAAAAGGAAGAAUUAGCUGUACAGUUUCAUAUUUGGGAUGGUGGUAGUAAAAUAUACUGCCUUUUGAUUCUUUUGGUCUGAAAUGUAUUAGAACAUGCUUUUAUUGCACUUACAAAGGUGUAUUGAAGGAAAAUUUUAGAGUAAGCUGAUGAGAAAGUUUUGCCAAGUGAAGUUGUUAAACACCUUGUAUGUCAGAACUGUGAUUGUGGUAAAUAAUUCACAAGAACAGGCUGAAGUAAGUCACCUUUCCCUCAAACUAACUAGAACACGUUCUAACAUGUUCAUUUACCUUUCUUCAAGUAAAAAAAGCGACUUAUUAGUGUAUUUCAUAUUUUAUUAGAAAAUGCUUUUAUGUAAUUAACUUAAAAAUUCUUUUUUUUUUUGUAGCCUAUAGCAAGCAAAUUUUAAGCUUAAUUCAAUUCAGCAAGGGUUGGCUUCCAAGGGUGGCUGCAAUAGGCUGCAGCUAUGUGAUUUUUGUACUUGUUUUUACAUAUAUAGCUUAUCUAAUUUCUUUAUAUAAAUUAAUGCUUAAUAACUGAAAGCAAGUGAGCUCCAAAGAUGAAAUUUCAGAAACAGUAUACAUGAAUAAGUGUGUUCUACCAGUCUGCUAAGAGCUUUAAAUGGAAGUGGCCACUCAAAGCACAGUGUCCUGUUAACUCUUGAGUGCUAAGAUCUUUCCAACAGUAAGCUUGAUUGAUCAUGGGUUAAAAAGAGAGAAUAUUGAAAUAGAUGUUUUAAUACAGGCUGGAAAUCACCUAUUCAACACUAUCAUUGAUUUAGUAUACAAGAAAUCAUAUAGAUUAACUGAACUUAAUAGUACUCAAGUAGGAUAUGCAAAAUUUAUAUUUUACAUAAUCUGUGAACAUUUUUAGUACCUAAAAAUGUUUCAGGUAUUUCAAAGAUGGGAACAACCAGUAUCUAGUCAUCAUACAUUAAUGUGAACAUGCUUAUUAAAAGUUAACCUCUUUAUAAAAAGUAUUAAUAAACCAAGAUGUGCCUAAAUAUUAGGGUACUUCAAGCUAAAGGUCAUAGUUUGUUUAUAUAUAUAUCUAUAUAUAUAUUUAUAUAUAUAGAUAUAUAUAUUAAAAAAAUGAGAUUCAAGAAAGUAAUGCAUCUGAUGCUUUGCUUAAUAAGAUUCACUAGUGCUUGCCCUUAAUUCGUAGGACAGUAUUGUUUAGGUUACAUUAACCUGAAAUUUAAAGCAUAAUUAUUAGGAUUCCGGCCUAUAAAUAUAUAAUUAAAAUCUAUAUUAUUGCUACCAUGAAAGUCUUAUCUUUGGCUGUUUUUCAAGUAGAAAAGUAAGUGUACUGUGAGCCUUUUAUUUGAGAUGCUGAGAGCUAUUAGGAUGAGUAUUUCAGUUUUCUUGUCAAUAGUGGAACUCUGAUGAUGUUGCAGUUAUUUGAAGUAGAACUGAUUGUCUAAACCAGACACACAUAGGAGUGUGCUCCAUUGGCCUUGGGGAGAGUGCUGCACAUUAACCCCUCCCUCAACUGUGCAAUCCACUGAGACUGGCUUCUCUAAGCCACAGUUGUUAUCUGCUGUGUAAAGUCCUGGAUGCCAGCACUGUGGCUUCUUAGAGAGGGCAGAUGCUUUGUAUAUUGAGCUGCAGCAUUCAUCAUAGAAAACGCUACAAAGCUGUCUCUCUUCCCCUUCUCUCAUGUUUCCCUCUUUUCAUCAAGAUGAAGACUGUUGGGUAAGAAAAACUAAGUGAUUUAACAAAUCAUUAUGAUUUAAACUUAGAAAUAAACCUAGAAUUUUUUGGUGUCCCUUUUAUCAUAGAUGUUUAAUGUAUAUUUUAAUGAUUGUAGAACUUGAAUUGCUCUAGAAUGUGAAUGACUACCCUUGUGUUUUAUUCCUCUUGGCGUUUUGUAAAGAAUCUCCUAUGAGGAGUUCUGUUUUUAGAAUUUAAUAUUGUUUGGUUACUUCCCUGACUUUAGUGAAAGAUAUUAGAGUAUUUACUAUGCCAGUAUCUAACUUAAACUAUGAGUAUUAAAUAAGUAUAUCUUUUACAUUUAGUACAGGUACCAUAACCAAAAGAGAUUUCUUAGUUUUGAUGGAUUAAGAGAGAGAAUUCUGCUGUAUAUUAUGGCAGGUACAGAUAUGAUCAUAACUGAACCAGAAUUUGGAUUAUAGAAGUGCACUUCCUAGCUGUUUUUUAUUUAGGUAUAGGAACACACAAUGAGAACCUUAUGUUUGGAAUGUAGCAGUAACAACAGAGGGUAACUACACUGCAAGACUUAAAUGGUUUGAGCAUGUGACACUAUCCUUUUGUUGGGGGGAGCAGGGUAUAAAAAUACAUACAGGAGAUUAGUUUAAUAGUAAAGUUUUAUAUGUAUGUUUAACUUCCAUGAUAUUUAUUAUUUUGUAGAGACAUUUGUGAUUGUUUAGAGUUCUUGUUUUUAUUCUAUUUAUGUAUAAGGUUGACUUUUUUUAAAUAAAUAAGCCAAAAAUUCUUUUUGAA
rnacentral:sRNA from 1 species